rnacentral:rRNA from 1 species
AUUGGGCGUAAAGGGCUCGCAGGCGGUUUCUUAAGUCUGAUGUGAAAGCCCCCGGCUCAACCGGGGAGGGUCAUUGGAAACUGGGGAACUUGAGUGCAGAAGAGGAGAGUGGAAUUCCACGUGUAGCGGUGAAAUGCGUAGAGAUGUGGAGGAACACCAGUGGCGAAGGCGACUCUCUGGUCUGUAACUGACGCUGAGGAGCGAAAGCGUGGGGAGCGAACAGGAUUAGAUACCCUGGUAGUCCACGCCGUAAACGAUGAGUGCUAAGUGUUAGGGGGUUUCCGCCCCUUAGUGCUGCAGCU